GGUCCAGUGGUCUAAUAGAUAAGGCAUCAGCCUUCGGAUCUGGGGAUUGUGGGUUCAAGUCCCACCCGGGUUG
rnacentral:tRNA from 1 species